GCCUGGCUGGCUCAGUUGGUAGAGCAUGAGACUCUUGAUCUCAGGGUCAUGAGUUUGAGCCCCACGUUGGGCA